rnacentral:rRNA from 1 species
AGCAGCCGCGGUAAUUCCAGCUCCAAUAGCGUAUAUUAAAGUUGUUGCAGUUAAAAAGCUCGUAGUUGAAUUUCGGGGUCAGUAGGCUGGUCAUGCCACUGGUAUGUACUGGUCUCACUGAUUCCUCCUUCCUGAUGAACUGUAAUGCCAUUAAUUUGGUGUUGCAGGGAAUCUGGACUGUUACUUUGAAAAAUUAGAGUGUUUAAAGCAGGCUAACGCCUGAAUACAUUAGCAUGGAAUAAUGAAAUAGGACGUUCGAUCCUAUUUUGUUGGUUUCUAGGAUUGACGUAAUGAUUAAUAGGGAUAGUUGGGGGCAUUAGUAUUCAAUUGUCAGAGGUGAAAUUCUUGGAUUUAUUGAAGACUAACUACUGCGAAAGCAUUUGCCAAGGAUGUUUUCAUUAAUCAAGAACGAAAGUUAGGGGAUCGAAGACGAUCAGAUACCGUCGUAGUCUUAACCAUAAACUAU